GUCCAGUCUUUUUUAGUAGCCAUGUAGUCACAAACACUGGCCAAAGCUAGCCUUCAGACUAGUUUUUUUGCAUUUUUAACACACAAAGAAAUAAAAAUGCUAACUUUUGCCAGUGUUUGUGACUAAUUGGCUACUAAAAAAGACUGGACAUAUUGAAUACCCUGGGUUGUCUACUUAAAAAAAAAAAAAAGGAACAUGUGAGGUGUGAUUCAGAGAUUUAUGACAGAUAACAGUGUUACAAUGUCACUAUUGAUACAUUUUUAAAAUAUAUCUUUUGAAACAGCAAUGUCCUACUUGUACUUGUAG